CCUACGGGGGGCAGCAGUGGGGAAUAUUGGACAAUGGGCGAAAGCCUGAUCCAGCCAUGCCGCGUGUGUGAAGAAGGCCUUCGGGUUGUAAAGCACUUUCAGUGGGGAAGAAAGCCUUGGGGCUAAUACCCUCGAGGAAGGACAUCACCCACAGAAGAAGCACCGGCUAACUCCGUGCCAGCAGCCGCGGUAAUACGGAGGGUGCGAGCGUUAAUCGGAAUUACUGGGCGUAAAGCGCGCGUAGGCGGUCUGAUAAGCCGGUUGUGAAAGCCCCGGGCUCAACCUGGGAACGGCAUCCGGAACUGUCAGGCUAGAGUGCAGGAGAGGAAGGUAGAAUUCCCGGUGUAGCGGUGAAAUGCGUAGAGAUCGGGAGGAAUACCAGUGGCGAAGACGGCCUUCUGGACUGACACUGACGCUGAGGUGCGAAAGCGUGGGUAGCAAACAGGAUUAGAUACCCGUGUAGUC
rnacentral:rRNA from 1 species